GCAAUGAAGACAAUUUUUGGUUAUGAGCAAAUGGCUGAAUAAAACUCACCAAAACCUCUAAGAAGUUCUGAGCUC
ensembl:snoRNA small nucleolar RNA SNORD61